UACGUAGGGUGCAAGCGUUGUCCGGAAUUAUUGGGCGUAAAGAGCUCGUAGGCGGCUUGUCGCGUCGGCUGUGAAAACCUGGGGCUCAACCCCGGGCCUGCAGCCGAUACGGGCAAGCUAGAAUUCGGUAGGGGAGACUGGAAUUCCUGGUGUAGCGGUGAAAUGCGUAGAUAUCUGGAGGAACACCGGUGGCGAAGGCGGCAUCCUGGACCGGUAUUGACGCUGAUGCGCGAAAGCCAGGGGAGCAAACGGG
rnacentral:rRNA from 1 species